ACCAGACUCCUACGGGAGGCAGCAGUGGGGGAUAUUGCACAAUGGGGGGAACCCUGAUGCAGCGACGCCGCGUGGGUGAAGAAGCGCCUCGGCGCGUAAAGCCCUGUCAGCAGGGAAGAAAAUGACGGUACCUGAAGAAGAAGCCCCGGCUAACUACGUGCCAGCAGCCGCGGUAAUACGUAGGGGGCAAGCGUUAUCCGGAUUUACUGGGUGUAAAGGGGGCGCAGACGGCGAUGCAAGCCAGGAGUGAAAGCCCGGGGCCCAACCCCGGGACUGCUCUUGGAACUGCGUGGCUGGAGUGCAGGAGGGGCAGGCGGAAUUCCUGGUGUAGCGGUGAAAUGCGUAGAUAUCAGGAGGAACACCGGUGGCGAAGGCGGCCUGCUGGACUGCAACUGACGCUGAGGCGCGAAAGCGUGGGGAGCAAACAGGAUUAGAUACCCCAGUA
rnacentral:rRNA from 1 species